UACGGGGGGAGCAAGCGUUGUUCGGAUUUACUGGGCGUAAAGGGCGCGUAGGCGGUCGUGACAAGUCACUUGUGAAAUCUCCGGGCUUAACCCGGAGCGGUCAAGUGAUACUGUCGGACUAGAGUACAGAAGGGGCAACUGGAAUUCUCGGUGUAGCGGUGAAAUGCGCAGAUAUCAGGAGGAACACCGGUGGCGAAGGCGGCACUCUGGGCCGGUACUGACGCUGAGGAGCGAAAGCGUGGGGAGCAAACAGG
rnacentral:rRNA from 1 species